UGUUAUCUGAUCACAUAUUUACUUUUGUAUAGGCAAGCACAUCUUACCCUCAACUGUUGUCAAGGCAACACUCCACGUGUGUUGUGUCAAAAACGCCCCACAGAACAGAGGGGCGGGGCGAGCAAAGCUCAUUAGCAUUUAAAAACACAUGCACUAAAACCGUGUGCUGAAAACAGAGCUGUUUUUGAGCAGGUAAAAUGAGUGUUUUCUUACAAUACUAAUGAGAAUUUUUAAUUAAAGUAUAUUACAAACUUUCAAUUUAGACCCUAAAGAAUCAUAUUAGCUUGUACAAAAAUGGCAUUACAUGACCCCUUUAAAUGUGCAAGCACACGAAGUUAGUCUAGCCCCUGUCUCGUACAGCUAUGAAUGACACAAAAAUGAUAACAUUAAUAUAACACUGAUAUAAAAGACACUAAACAACGCCGGUACAAUACUUACCCUCCCAAUAGAUGCACGAAAACAAGCCAAAGCGAGCCGUGACUAAAUUAACCACACUGCUUGUGUGCAAAAUAAUAAUAAUAAUUUUUAGUGAAUUGUUGGCCUUCUGGAAAGUAUGUUCAUUUACUGUAUAUGUACUCAAUAUUUCGUAGGGGUUCCUUUUGCUUUAAUUACUGCCCCAAUUCGGCAUGGCAUAGAGGUGAUCAGUUUGUGGCACUGCAGAGGUGGUAUGGAAGCCCAGUUUGCUUUGAUAGCAGCCUUCAGCUCAUCUGCAUUGUUGGGUCUGGUGUCUCUCAUCUUCCUCUAGGCAAUACCCCAUAGAUUCUCUAUGGGGUUCAGGUCAGGCGAGUUUGCUGGCCAAUCAAGCACAGUAACACUAUGGUCAUUGAACCAGCUUUUGGUACCUUUGGCAGUGUGGGCAGGUGCCAAGUCCUGCUGGAAAAUGAAAUCAGCAUCUCCAUAAAGCUUGUCAGCAGAAGGAAGCAUGAAGUGCUCUAAAAUUAUGGCUGCGUUGACUGUGGACUUCAGAAAACACAGUGGACCAACACCAGCAGAUGACAUGGCAGCCCAAAUCAUCACAGACUGUAGAAACUUCACACUGGACUUUAAGCAACAUGGAUUCUGUGCCUCUCCACUCUUCCUCCAGACUCUGGGACCUUGAUUUCCAAAUGAAAUGCAAAAUUUACUUUCAUCUGAAAAGAGGACUUUGGACCACUGAGCAACAGUCCAGUUCUUUUUCUCCUUAGCCCAGGUAAGACGCUUCUGACGUUGUCUCUGGUUCAGAAGUGGCUUGGUAGCCCUUUUCCUGAAGAUGUCUGAGCGUGGUGACUCUUGAUGCACUGACUCCAGCUUCAGUCCACUCCUUGUGAAGCUCUCCCAAGUGUUUGAAUCAGCUUUGCUUGACUGUAUUCUCAAGCUUGCGGUCAUCCCUGUUGCUUGUGCACCUUUUCCUACCCAAAUUCUUCCUUCCAGUCAACUUUGCAUUUAAUAUGCUUUGAUACAGCACUCUGUAAACAGCCACACCUUUCAGUAAUGACCCUCUGUGACUUACCCUCUUUGUGGAGGGCAUCAAUGUUCGUUUUCUGGAUCAUUGCCAAGUCAGCAGUCUUCCCCAUUAUUGUGGUUUCAAAGAACAAGAGAUACCCAGAAGUUAUACUGUAGGGAUGGUCAUUAAUUGAAACUCAAAUGUAAAUAUUCUAAUAUUUUGAGAUACUGAUUCUUGACUUUCAUGAGCUGUAAGCUCUAAUCAUCAAAAUUAAAACAAACAAACUUUUGAAAUGUUUUACUUUACAUGCAAUGAAUCUAAAAUAUAUGAAAGUUUCACUUUUUGAAAUAACUUGCAAGAACAAAUUAACUUUUUCACGACAUUCUAAUUUGCUAGAAACCACAAAAAAAAAAACAAAAAAAAAACAAUUGAAUGUUAACUUGCACAAAUAAUAAAAAAAAAAUUAAAUACAUAAGUAAAAUUAGAAUGUGAAAAAUGUGAGACUGAGUACAGAAGUGAACUGAAAUUGAGCGGAAGUACGAAGUCUGACGUAGUCAGGCUACAGGUCAUUACCCUUUACCUUAAAUAAAUGUCAAGUAUUUACUCCACAUUCUCCUAUAAACCUAUAAACCAAGUAGUCUGACUUUUUUUGUAUGCUGCAACAUUCCCCAGUUCUGUAACCCAUGAAAGAUGGUGAACCACAUGUUUCUGAAAAGGGAGCUAAAAGACUAACCAUAGUAUUGUUUUUUUUAAUUUAUUUAUAAGCAUUAAAUAUUAAUUUUACAUUCAGAUAAGCAUUUAAACAAUAAAACAAAGGACCCAUGACAAUUUCAGCACUGGGAAGGGAUAAAUAGUAAUGACUGAAAUUAACUGAGUGAUGGAUGCUCCAUACUGAACAAAAAGUAGACUGCAAACAGAUACUUCUGGCAUCUCUGUGUUAUUGGUCAGUGACAUCCAUUUUGAUGCUAACUCUCUUUGCGAUGAGUAGGCUUGACAUCCUAAAAUGGGGAUACAAGUCAGAUAAACAUUUAUUAGACCUAUGGAGAGUACAGUACAACAGGGAAAAGAAAAGAAUCUCUCACAAUUACAUUAAAACUUAUUUGAAUUAGAGAGAAGUGUGGUGUUUUCAUCUGAAUGUAGAUGACCAAACAAGUAAUGCUGCACUCCAGAGUCCAGACCUGCAGUGACAGUGCAAAAUAUUUAUUUAUUUAUCAAUCAAUCAUAAGAACUUGCAUGAUAAAAGGUGGAAAAUAGAAAAAAAAAAAAAGAAGAUAUCAGUAACUUAAGAUUAGCUGAUUGAUGAGUUUCAGUUGGUACUGUUAGGAAAAAUAAAUAAUGUACCUUUUGUGUUAUUGUUUUGCAGCAGGUUGGUCAUGUUUCCUCUGACUCCCACUUUUCAGCUCUCUGAUAGGGUGGAGCUAAAACUUUAACAGUGCUCUCUGGGAUAGAUGAACAUCUACAACAACCAAAUACAGUGUGUUUUGAAUAAUAUACAAUUACUUCAGCAAAACAAAUAUUUAUAUUUCGCUAUACUAUAACCAGUGUUGGGCACGUUACUUUAAAAAAGUAAUUAGUUAUAGUUACUAGUUACUUCUUAUAAAUAGUAACUGAGUUAGUAACUGAGUUACAUCAUUAUAAAAGUAACUAAUUACCAGGGAAAUUAACUAUUGCGUUACUUUUUAAAAAAUGUUCAAAUGUCAAAUGACUUUGGAUGCCCAAUAUUAAAUAUGUUAAAUUAAUGAAAUGGACACUAAAAAGAAUAAAUUAUUAUUAUAAAACAUUGUACAUUAAUCUACACUAUUUAUCUACUGACACUUAGUAUUAGUCAGUCAAGCAUUAUAAUAUAAUAUUAUGAUUAUUUAAUAUUAUAUGAUGAUAGAACUUUAGUAAUUAGAAUAACCAAGUAUGAAUGCAUAUUUGUCAUCAAUAUAAAACGCACUAAGGAUUAAUGAGCUGCUGGGUUCAUGAAUAUUAAUCACGUUGUCUGCGUUCGCUAGAAUUGAUUUGCUGAAAUCAAAACAGUGAUGAUAAUAGGUGAGCGCCAGCCAAUGAGAUUGUCGUUUGCGCAUUAGUUCCACCCACUACCAGAGAAACCGGCAGUUCUUAAAAGUUAUUUUUUACAGGAAAAUACAACAAAGAAUAUCGUUUACAUGUAGCGCGUCAGUUCUGCAUGUUAUGAAAGACUCUCUUGCUCUGUAUCUUUCUUUGCGUGCGUGUAUGUGAGAGAAAGCGACGGCGAGUCGUGCGCCUUCACACUAGAGUUUAUGGUACGUCAAAAUACAGCUACACUGCGCAUCCAUUCAGAUGUACUGAAAAAUUAAAUUCUAAUAAUAUAAUAUAGUAACGCAAUAUUUUAUUGUCAGUAACGGUAACGGCGUUGUAACGGGGGAAACAGUAAUUCGUUUGAUUACUCGUUACUGAAAAAAAUAACGCCGUUAGUAACGCCGUUUAUUUAUAACGCCGUUAUUCCCAUCACUGACUAUAACUGCAAACACCAAAUACUCACAGUUAUCCACUGAAAAAAUGGAAACAUUUCCAUCAGCUUCUCUCUUUGUUCUUCUUGGUUUGAAUUCAUGUUUAUAACGGCAGUUUGACGGCGAUUUGACUGAAACUUUGUUUCAUCUUUUCCUAUACGUUACAUAUAGGUCCAAUACAAUCUACAGGGCAAAAAAAGUAUUACGUUAGGCUAUAACAUGAACUCUCGCCAGCAUUAUUGAUCAAUUCACAACAGUUUUAUCAAGAUACUUUAGGGAUUAAUGUUAAAAAUGACAAACCUCCCGGCGGAGAAUUGCGCAGGCCUGGACAACGCGAUAAACCAGCUUCUUCUUUUAGCUUCUUGAAAGAAACGUGUAACGUUAUGCUAACUAAAAAUGACAAGGGUUUAUGUAAAAGUGAUUAAAAUAUGCUCAAAUUAAUUAAUAUUCUCACUUACCAAUGUAAUCGUCAUUCUCCCGAGCGCUGAGCGCAGUCAGCGCACCGUGAACCGUUGAAGUUUAAACAGCAGCACUUGCGCGCUUUUAGUGAUCACUCUCGCGAGAGGCGCGCAACUGAAAUGCGGCACUGUGCAGACAGGACAAAACAGAUCAGUGCAUAGAUACACAUUCAGGUUGUUUGCCGUUUAUGUCAAAGAUCAUUUUAUGCAUCUGUUUGGAUGGAUGAGUUACAAGAAUAGCCUUUUUAAAGGUCCCAUGACAUGCUGCUUUUUGGAUGUUUUUAUAUAGGCCUAAGUGGUCCCUAGUACUGUAUCUGAAGUCUGUUUCCCCAACCUGGUCUCACAGAAUUCCAUGUAAUGACCACGGACCCUUAACUUUGAAUCUUAAAGCACCUAACCCACCCCUACCCUAAACCUACCCACUUCUGAACAAUAUAAAACGCACACAGGCAAAUACAAGUACAGUCACAGGUAUUUAUUGCAAAAUGACCAUAAACAAGCAGUAUAAAAGCAUUACAAACAAGUCGUGUUGCAUUCCAAGUCUUCUGAAACCAUACAAAGUCUUUAUGCAAAGAAGUGAUUAAAACACAAGGUUUUAAUCGCUGAAAAUGAUCCCGCUCCGUUAACGCGUUCACAUCUCAUUCAAAAAGAUACUCCCAUCCCGUAGCAUGACGCAAUCGGUCACGACAUACAAGAACCAAUAGCCUGUCACAACAGCAUGACGCAAUCGAUCACGAGACACGCAAGAGCCAAUGGCAUUUCAGAAACAAAGCUGACGUAAGGUUUCUUCUGGCGGCAUUUUUUGAAUUUAUGCACAGAGACUGCAGCACAUAGCGGACGGAGAGGGCGAUCGCGUCUAUUCCUCUCACAAAUCAAUCGUUUUGCCUCGGAAGACUUGGAACAUUAAUACGUUUUGAAUAAAUUAUGACGGUAGUUGUGUCUGUUUGUUGUAUCUUCUGUUUUAUUGACAGGUUUAGGGGCAGGGUUCGGGUUACGUGCUCAUAAAUGUGUAAUGUAAUAUAAAUAAAACUGUUGUGGCUGUUUACAUUGAAAAAUCACACCCCAACAUAUAUGCAAUAAUGGCAAUGUUGUUACCCAAUAUAUAAUUUACAACCUGGUCUCAGAGUUCCGUCACUGACUUACAUUAGUAUCACUUCUGUGAGCCCAUCACAGAAUUUCUGGCGAUUCCGUGAUGCCACCACAGAUUCGGGGGUUAAGAGUCCGUGGUCAUUACACGGAAUUCUGUGAGACCGGGUUUGUUUCCCGAAAUUCAGCCUUGGUGCAGAAUUUCAGCCACUACGAGCCAGUCCCACAAUGAGCUUUCCUUAGGACGUGCCAUUUCUGUGUCUGUAGCUUUAAAUGCUAAUGAGGAGGAGAGAGGCGGGGCAAGGUGGAGGGUGGGUGUGUGGCCUUAACCAGCAUGCGCUAAUAUUGACAGUGGAUGCGCAUGCGCUAAUAUUGACAGUGGAUGUAUCGCAAUGGCUCGUAGACACACAGUCCUUCAAGCUUUUCAGUUUUACCCAGAAUCUGAUCCGGAUGGAGAAGCACCGGAUGAAGAAGUUCAGGCUACAGCAGGACGCUGUAAAAUCGGAGAAAGAUGCGCUACCGUUUCUUCUGCAUUCUUUGUCUGCACGGAAGUUGGAACUGCAUUUGAAAAGCCUGACAAAGGCCUGGGCUGAUUCAAUCCUCUCCUUCACCAGGGACUAUCCCAGUCUAAGAGAAAUCAGCUUAGAAGCUGACAGGUUACUGGAGGAAGCAGAAAGUGUCUUGAAGAAGUCACACCCAAAGCCUGACUGCACACUGACUGUACAAGGGUUUUUGUUUCUGGACUGAUCUACAGACUAGGAGUGCAGUGGAAAGAGACAGCUGGAGGAGGAUUCAACAAAGCCUUUCUUUUUAUUAUUACUUUUAUUGUUCUUUGACUGACAGGCUUUAUGUGAUUUUAUUUUAUUUUGAUUUAUCUUUGAUUAAUUAAUGAUUUGAAUUAAUGUAUUGGUUUUGCUCUAUUUUGCCUUGCAACUCUUUUUUUUUUUUUUUUUUUUUUACAGAUUUUUUAUCAUUUCGAAGUUGUGUAAGUAUUCUUUAGGGCUGCCAUGUUAACAAGUAAUGCUGUUCUUAUCUAAAUACUUAGUUAAUUGUUAUAUAAUCAAAAGGUAUCAUUCUGUUCCUUGUUGUUUAGAACCGUGGGAAAACACCACCAGGGUGUUUAUGUUCAACACCUUUACAAGAUCUACACAUCAGUGACUAUACAGUGACUAUACAGAACAAUAUUGUUUUCCUGCAGUGGUUCAGAUUUGUACUGCUCAUUCAUUUUUACCUCACUCACUCAUUUUCAUAUAGAUCUGUAUGUGUCUGCAAAAUAUUUUAUAAUUUAGUUCCAUAAAAUUUUCUUUAAAAAAAAUAAAUAAAUAAAAUGGUAGCUUGAAAAUACAUGGCUAUUAAUUAAUAAACGUUAUAAUCAAGCUAUAUAUCUCAGACACACUGCAGUUGAACAAAAUGACGUUGCAAAUGCGAUAAAUAGAUAGAUGUUUAUGUUGGGGUUAGGGCCUUAAAAUGGAGUAAAUCAAUUAUUAAAUAAAGAAGGACAGAAAUGUAUAUCAUUGAAUGUACUGCAAAUAAAGUUAACAGACUUAAUAUCGCAUUUUUGUCAUCUGACUUGUGUUGCAGUCUUGAUUUAAACCACACCAUGCUGGUUUCGUCUGGCCAGAGGAGAAAUGGCCCCCCAACCUGGUUUCUUCCAAGGUUUUUUUCUUUUCUUCUCAAUUUCUGUCACCAAUGAAGUUUUGGUUCCUUGUCACUGUUGCCUUUGGCUUGCUUAGUUGGGGACUUGAUUGAACAGAUAUUAUUUGAACUGAACUGCUUGAUCAGUUUACUGACAUCACUGAAUCAAUGAUGAACUGAAUUUAACUGAAACAUUUAGUUUACUAUUGUCCUCCUGCAUUAUCGACAAACUGUUUUCUUGUUUAAUACUGUAAAGCUGCUCUGACACAAUCUGUACUGUAUAAAACGCUAUAUAAAUAAAGGUGAUUUGACUAUA